rnacentral:SRP_RNA from 10 species
GCUGGGUGUGGUGGUGGACACCUGUAAUCCCAGCUACACAGGAGGCUGAGGCGGGAGAAUCGCUUGAACCUGGGAGGUGGAGGUUGCAGUGAGCUGAGAUUGUGCCACUGCACUCCAGCCUGGGUGACAAAGUGAGACUCCGUCUCAAAAAAAAAAAAAGAUGUCAUUUGUGCUUUAUUAUUUAUAAUAACAAAUAUAAUUUUUUUUUUUUUAAGAUGAAGUCUCCCUCUGUCCCCCAGGCUGGAGUGCAGUGGUGCGACGGCAGCUCACUGCAACCUCUGCCUCCCAGGUUCAAGCGAUUCUCCUGCCUCA